CCAAUAGCGUAUAUUAAAGUUGUUGCAGUUAAAAAGCUCGUAGUUGAACCUCGGGGUCUACCCAUUGGUCAGGCUUAAUUGUCUGCACUGGUGAGAUGGAUCUCUACCUUCUGAGGAACUUUCAUGCCAUUUAUUUGGUGUGAUGGGAAAUCAGGACUGUUACUUUGAAAAAAUUAGAGUGUUUAAAGCAGACUAUCGUCUGAAUACAUUAGCAUGGAAUAAUGAAAUAGGACGGACUGAUUCUAUUUCGUUGGUUUCUAGGAUCACCGUAAUGAUUAAUAGGGAUAGUUGUGGGCAGUAGUAUUCAAUUGUCAGAGGUGAAAUUCUUGGAUUUAUUGAAGACGAACUACUGCGAAAGCAUUUGCCAAGGAUGUUUUCAUUAAUCAAGAACGAAAGUUAGGGGAUCGAAGACGAUCAGAUACCGUCGUAGUCUUAACCAUAAACUAUGCCGACUAGGGAUCGGACGAAGUUAAUUUUAUAAUGACGCGUUCGGCACCUUACGUGAAACCAAAGUGUUGGGGUUC
rnacentral:misc_RNA from 1 species